CCAUUGUAAUUCAGGAAGCCAGCUAAUUUCACUUCCACAGAAAAGCCUGGAAGCAGAACAUAACUCCUGAUUUAUCAGUGUGCAUAUAUCAUUUCACCUGUGUUAAACUUUGCUGCAUCCUCAGGCUGUCACACACUGUUGUGUCCCGCUGUAGCAUUCAGCCAGUUUAGGCUCUCAAAGAGAGCACACAAAAAUGAAGAUGUUGGAUCAUAUCACCUAUUAAGAUGCAAAAUACCUUCUCAGAAUGAUGAUGGAAACCUUGACACUCCAGUUAUUUAAAAUUUGACUGGCUAGUGUACUAUAUGUACUUGCACCAAGAAAUUCCUCAUUGGCAAGAAGAUGAAAAAGAAAUUUAUUCCAGCUAACAGGAUUUAGUAUAAAGAAAGGCAAAAAUGCUUGAAACCUGGAUGGCUGAAUAAAAAUAAAUGUGACUGAAAGACACCAGUCUGAAUCCUAACAUUGCUGAUCAAGCUAGAACAUGUCUUCAUAUUUUCUGGACAAAAUUUCUGAAUUUCAGGCAAGAAAGUAUGUAGUGCCUGGAAAGGAAGAUGGAGAAGGCAACCAGGAAAGCUGCUAGUCUACAAGUAUAUCGACAGACAAACAAAGCUGCAGGGAACACACAACUGCUGCCAAAACAGAAGAACAUCAGGAGCAGCACAGGAUUCCAGGGGCCAAUAUAUACACCUUGUGAGAUGCGGCUACUCUCCAACCACUAUAUACGAAGCAGGUCCCAAACCCUGCUACUGAACCAUGCACUGGAACCAGGAAACAGAGUUGGAAGCCAAAGAACACCAUACUGUACCAGUGUUACAUACCUGUAUUUUACCACUGCCAUUUCUACCCAAGUGAGGCAAACCCAGCCCUACCCUGGUAAGUGCCCAAUGAUCUUCUUGGCAGACAACUGUUCAUUAGACCUUU